rnacentral:lncRNA from 1 species
UCUGUUUGUCCACUCCUUUAGUUCGAUGUUGUUCUCUAAGUGAUGUAAGGUAUUCACGUUUCCACCUUGUCCAGAAAUUGUCAAUGAUAUGAUUUUGAAUCUGUAACAAUUUAUUAGCUGAUGCGUGUGUUAAGUUUUUUGAAUUUUCAAUGUUUCCAUCUAAAGUUCCGGUGUACGGUAAAAUCGUAAUUCUUCUUCCGUAGAGUAAAUGUGAGGGUGUCAAUGGUUCAUUAUCCGUUGGAUCCGAUGAUAGGUACGUCAACGGACGAUCAUUAAGAAUAGCUUCCACUUCUGUGACGAUAGUUUCAAGUACACGUAAACUCACAAAUG